GACGAACGCUGGCGGCGUGCUUAACACAUGCAAGUCGAACGGCAACGCCCUGCUUUCGUGGGGUGCCCGAGUGGCGAACGCGUGCGUAACACGUAUGUAACCUGCCCUAGACUUUGGGAUAACAUAAGGAAACUGGGCUUACUAUCGUAUAGCAGCUCACGCUGCAUGGAAGGGGUUGGAACGUCUAGGCGGGUGUGGAUGGAUUCGCGGCUUAUGAGCUAGUUGGUUGGGUAGUGGCUUACCAAGGCUUUGGCGGGUAGGCGGCCCGUGAGGGGGGCCGGCCACAAUGGGACUGAGAUACGGCGCAGACUGCUACGGGAGGCAGUAGGGGGGAGCAUUGCACAAUGAGCGGAAGCCUGAUGCAGAAACGCCGGGGUCGUGAUGACGGCCUGCGGGGUGAGAACAGCUGUCGCCUGUGACGAAGCGUGAGUGACGGUAAUGGGUAAAGAAGCACCGGCUAACUACGUG
rnacentral:rRNA from 1 species